CCUGCAGGUACAAGGAGAUAAGGUUUCAACAGCAUGCAACUGCAUGGCUGUGUGACAAAAUGUUUGAAGAAUAGACCAACAAUGUGUCCAUGAAUUGAUAACGAAAAAGCAAAAUAUCUUUAAGGCAUGUAGAAGGUUUCAAACACUGAACAAGGACUUCAGCUUAACGGCUACAAGAUCACAAACUAGCUAUUAAUUAUGCACCAACAUGGACUUGACAUAGAGAAACAAGAAAACUCAUUCAUGUAAUGCAAUAUGAGAGAAAUUGGAUAUCCUUUUUCUUUGAGCUAAAGUUGCAAAAUAUUAAAAACAGGUCAGAAAUGAUGAAGCAUGUGCUUAUUAGCUCAUGUGGCAUACGUUUUUUUCGGCUACCA
rnacentral:misc_RNA from 1 species